rnacentral:rRNA from 1 species
UGGCGGCGUGCCUAAAACAUGCAAGUCGAACGGGUCUUCGGACCCAGUGGCGAACGGCGGAGUAAUACAUAAGCAACGUGCCCUGAAGACUGGGAUAUACGAUGGAAACGUCGGGCAAUACCAGAUGUGGUUGGGAGGAGUCAUCUUCAUCCAAUUAAACGGAUUUAUUCGCUUCGGGAGCGGCUUGUGGCCUAUCAGCUAGUUGGUGAGGUAAAGGCUCACCAAGGCGACGACGGUAGGGGGUCUGAGAGGAUGAUCCCCUCGAGUGGGACUGAGACACGGCCCACACACCUACGGGUGGCAGCAGUUGGGAAUCUUGCACAAUGGGGGAAACCCCUGAUGCAGCGACGCCGCGUGGAGGAUGAAGGAUUUCGGUCUGUAAACUCCUUUUACAGGGAAAGACUUAGGACGGUACCCUGUGAAUAAGCUCCGGCUAACUACGUG